GUGCAGCAGGCGCGAAAACUUCACACUGUGCGAAAGCACGAUGAGGGAAUCCCAAGUGCUUGCACGUAAGUGUAAGCUGUUUCUCUGUCUAAAACGCAGAGAGAGUAAGGGCUGGGUAAGACGGGUGCCAGCCGCCGCGGUAAUACCUGCAGCUCAAGUGGUGACCGUUAUUAUUGGGCCUAAAACGUCCGUAGCCGGUUUAAUAAAUGCCUGGGUAAAUUGUGUAGCUUAACUAUACGAAUUCCGGGUAGACUGUUAAACUUGAGACCGGGAGAAGUUAGAGGUACUCCUGGGGUAGAGGUGAAAUUCUGUAAUCCUAGGGGGACCACCAGUGGCGAAGGCGUCUAACUAGAACGGGUCUGACGGUGAGGGACGAAGCCCUGGGGCGCAAACGGGAUUAGAUACCCGGGUAGU
rnacentral:rRNA from 1 species